GAGAGCCGUGAGGGUGGCCAAGUCCAGUUUGGACCUCUGACCCUUGGGCAGCACCUCCCGACAGCCGGCUCGGGACCCAACUCUGCGAGCCAGGUGAAAAUGAGUUCUUCAGUAAGAAGAAAAGGCAAGCCAGGCAAAGGAGGUGGAAAAGGGUCUUCUAGAGGAGGAAGAGGAGGCAGGAGUCACGCCAGUAAAUCUCAUGGGAGUGGUGGUGGUGGCGGUGGCGGUGGUGGUGGUGGAGGUGGCGGCAACAGAAAGGCCUCCAGUAGAAUAUGGGAUGAUGGAGAUGACUUUUGUAUCUUCAGUGAAUCAAGGCGCCCUUCCAGACCUAGCAACAGUAACAUAAGCAAAGGAGAGUCACGCCCAAAAUGGAAACCCAAAGCCAAAGUACCCCUUCAGACUCUACAUAUGACUUCUGAGAAUCAAGAGAAAGUGAAAGCUCUUCUCCGAGACCUGCAAGAACAAGAUGCUGAUGCCGGAUCUGAAAGAGGCAUUUCUGGGGAGGAGGAAGAUGAUGAGCCUGAUUGCUGUAAUGAUGAGCGGUACUGGCCAGCUGGACAGGAACCUUCCCUCGUUCCCGACUUGGAUCCUUUGGAAUAUGCUGGCUUAGCCUCAGUGGAGCCUUAUGUUCCAGAAUUUACAGUCUCCCCAUUUGCAGUGCAAAAACUUUCCAGGUAUGGUUUCAAUACUGAACGCUGUCAAGCGGUCCUGAGGAUGUGUGAUGGAGAUGUGGGAGCAUCACUAGAGCAUCUCCUUACCCAGUGUUUUUCAGAGACAUUUGGAGAGAGGAUGAAGAUCUCUGAGGCAGUCAACCAGAUAAGCUUGGAUGAGUGUAUGGAACAGCGACAGGAAGAGGCAUUUGCUCUCAAGUCCAUCUGUGGAGAAAAAUUUAUAGAAAGAAUUCAGAACAGAGUCUGGACCAUUGGGUUAGAACUGGAGUAUCUGACAAGUAGAUUCCGCAAAUCCAAGCCAAAAGAAAGUACCAAAAAUGUACAAGAGAAUUCACUUGAAAUCUGUAAAUUUUACCUCAAAGGAAAUUGUAAAUUUGGAUCAAAAUGCAGAUUCAAACAUGAAGUGCCCCCAAAUCAAAUUGUUGGAAGAAUAGAAAGAAGUGUAGAUGAUUCUCAUCUUAAUGCUAUUGAAGAUGCAUCUUUUUUAUAUGAACUUGAAAUUCGAUUUUCUAAAGACCACAAAUAUCCCUACCAAGCUCCCCUCGUGGCAUUUUAUUCCACCAAUGAGAACCUACCUCUGGCUUGUCGUUUACAUAUUUCUGAGUUUCUUUAUGACAAGGCCUUGACAUUUGCAGAAACUUCGGAACCUGUCGUAUAUUCUUUGAUAACCCUUUUAGAGGAAGAGUCGGAAAUAGUCAAGUUACUAACGAAUACCCACCACAAGUAUAGUGACCCUCCUGUGAACUUUCUGCCAGUACCCUCUAGGACCAGAAUAAAUAAUCCUGCCUGUCAUAAACCACUGAUUCCAAAUAAUUCUUUUGUUUCUAAUCAAAUUCCAGAAGUUGAAAAGGCAUCAGAAUCUGAGGAGUCAGAUGAGGAUGACGGUCCUGCACCUGUUAUAGUAGAGAAUGAAAGCUAUGUGAACCUUAAGAAAAAGAUUUCCAAAAGAUAUGACUGGCAGGCAAAGUCAGUACAUGCUGAAAAUGGUAAAAUCUGCAAGCAGUUCCGAAUGAAACAGGCUUCCAGACAGUUCCAGUCCAUUCUGCAAGAGAGGCAAUCACUCCCUGCUUGGGAAGAAAGAGAAACCAUUCUUAACUUAUUGCGUAAGCACCAGGUGGUUGUCAUAAGUGGUAUGACUGGAUGUGGGAAAACCACACAAAUUCCACAGUUUAUUCUGGAUGAUUCUCUGAAUGGACCACCUGAGAAGGUAGCCAACAUCAUCUGUACCCAACCCCGACGAAUCUCUGCAAUCUCUGUUGCUGAACGCGUUGCUAAAGAAAGAGCAGAGAGGGUGGGUCUGACCGUGGGAUACCAGAUUCGGUUAGAAAGUGUCAAGGUUUGUAUGCUCUGCUUAUUUCCUGGUAACAGAAAUUUAUGGUUUUUAGGUAUAAAAAGUUUUGGGGGUUAGGAGAUUCAUGGGCAAUUUGGGAUAUAUACUUUCAGGUUAUUUUUAAAUUAAUGAUUACCUUCAGUAAUCAUUUAUUUAAAUAUUUAGAAAUAUUUAGAAAUAUUUUGGUAUAAGAAGUCAAAUGGCCAGGCGCGGUGGCUCACACCUGUAAUCCCAGCACUUUGGGAGGCCAAGGCAGGUGGAUCACCCGAGGUCGGGAGUUCGAGACCAGCCUGACCAACAUGGAGAAACCCCAUCUCUACUAAAAAUACAAAAAUUAGCCGAGUGUGGUGGCACACGCCUGUAAUCCCAGCUACUUGGGAGUCUGAGGCAGGAGAAUCCCUUGAACCUGGGAGACGGAAGUUGCAAUGAGCCGAGAUUGCGCCAUUGCACUCCAGCCUGGGCAAAAAGAGCAAAAUUCCGUCUCAAAAAAAAAAACAAAAAAACUCUUAUUUGGUUGUACUAAAUUUCCUCUGUAAAGCUUUUUAUUUUUUAUUGGCGGAAGUCAUCUAGUAAAGACUAUUUUGCUCUUGAACUUGGGACAUAAUCCAUUUAACCAAAUAAGGAGCAGACAGAUUGAGAACUGUUUUCAUUAUUCACUGUUUUUUAAUGCUUUUUAUGAAAAUCUUAGCAUUGUGAUAUGAAGUAGAAAGGCUUUUAUUACUGUCCCUGGCAAGAAACUAUGUUUAGUAUGGUUUCCUAUUAAAUGGAACUGCUGGUGUUGUCAAUAUUUUUUAUCACUAUCCAUUCAAAAUGGCUUUCCAGUAAUGUUUCCUUUUUUUGAAAAUUUUAUUAAUGAUUUAUAUUGCCCUUUCAUGUGUAAGUCCUCAGCCACCAGACUGUUAUACUGCACCACGGGAGUGCUGCUGAGAAGGCUAGAAGGAGAUACAGCUCUACAAGGAGUUUCCCAUAUCAUUGUUGAUGAAGUUCAUGAGAGGACAGAAGAAAGGUAAAACAAAGACUUUCCCAGGGAACACACACUCACCUGAAAUGAAGGCAUGGCAGAAAAAAUUGUUUUCUAGUUCCAAUUCAGUUUCAUGCAGCUAGUAAUGGUAAUUUGCCACAAGGAAGGCCUAUGUUAGAGAAGAGCAACUGCUUUCUUGAUCUCCAGGGUCUGUAACACUAAAAAGGACAGCACAUGCUCAUCACUUAUUAGAUGGAGUCAUCCUGUUAGGUUAGAAGGUAUACUUCACACCAUCCUGGGCAUUAUGCUAAGUUGAAUACUGUACUUAGUAGAAAUAACAGAUGUCAUGCAUGCUGUGGCUGAAUGUAUCUUCUUCCAUGUUUAUUUGGCCAUUCAGUCCUGACAUUGAUUCAUGUAUUUAUUGAGCCUGCAUUAAAUGCCAAGUGAUAUGUUAGUUGCUGGGGAUACAGUGAUGAACAAGCAUGUAUGGCUCCCCCUCAUCUCUUACAGUCCAGUAGAAAAAACAAAUAAUGAACAAGUAAACAAGCAAAUGAUUGUAAAUUGGAAUAAGCACUAUGAAGGAAUAAACGGCAUGCUGUGUUUGGAGGGAGAGACCCAUAGAUGCUCAAAGAUCAUAUCUCUGUAAGAUGACAAUUUAAAUUCAAAACUGAAGUAUGGCCGGGCGCAAUGGCUCACACCCAUAAUCCCUGCACUUUGGGAGGCCAAGGUGGGAGGAUCGCUUGAGCCCAGGAGUUGGAGCCCCACCUGGGCAACAUAGUGAGACCAUGUUUCCAUGAAAAGUUAAAAAAAGAAGAAGAAAAAAAAAAUAGCCAGUAGUCAUUCUACUGGGGAUACAGAAAAAAAAAAAAAAAAAAAAAAUUAGCCAGGCGUGAUGCCUCACACCUAAGGUCCCAGCUACUCAGGAGGCUGAGGCAGGAGAAUCAAUUGAGCCUCCAGGAGGUUGAGGCUGCAGUGAGCUGUGAUAGCACCACUGCACUCCACCCUGGUCAAGAAAGCAAGACCCUGUCUCAAAAAAAAAAAGAAAAGAAAAGAAAA
rnacentral:sRNA from 1 species